GACGAACGCUGGCGGCGUGCCUAAUACAUGCAAGUAGAACGCAGUUGCGAACGGGUGAGUAACGCGUAGGUACCUGCCUCAUAGCGGGGGAUCACUAUUGGAAACGAUAGCUAAUACCGCAUACUGUGAGAUGGACCUGCGUUGUAUUAGGUAGUUGGUGAGGUAAAGGCUCACCAAGGCGACGAUACAUAGCCGGACUGAGAGGGAUAUCGGGCAAACCGGGAAUGGGGACCGGCCCAGGACCCGUCGGGAGGCAACAGGAGGGGAUCGUCGGCAAUGGACGGAAAGCUGACCGAGCAACGGCGCGUGGGUGAAGAAGGGUUUCGGAUCGUAAAGCUCUUUUGUUAGAGGAGCGGUAACUAACCAGGAAGGGCCGGCUAACUACGUGCCAGCCGCCGCGGUAAUAC
rnacentral:rRNA from 1 species